rnacentral:rRNA from 1 species
UCAAAUGAAUUGACGGGGAGCACCACAACGGGUGGAGCUUGCGGUUUUAAUUGGAUUCAACGCCGGAAAUCUUACCGGGACCGACAGCAAUAUGAAGGCCAGGCUGAAGACUUUGCCGGAUUAGCUGAGAGGUGGUGCAUGGCCGUCGUCAGUUCGUACUGUGAAGCAUCCUGUUAAGUCAGGCAACGAGCGAGACCCACGCCCACAGUUGCCAGCGUACUCUCCGGAGUGACGGGUACACUGUGGGGACCGCCGCUGCUAAAGCGGAGGAAGGAAUGGGCAACGGUAGGUCAGUAUGCCCCGAAUCUCCCGGGCUACACGCGGGCUACAAUGGUUGGUACAAUGGGCAUCUACCCCGAAAGGGGAAGGAAAUCUCUUAAAGCCAAUCGUAGUUCGGAUUGAGGGCUGCAACUCGCCCUCAUGAAGCUGGAAUCCGUAGUAAUCGCGUUUCAACAGAACGCGGUGAAUACGUCCCUGCUCCUU